rnacentral:rRNA from 1 species
CCUACGGGUGGCAGCAGUGAGGAAUAUUGGUCAAUGCGCGCGAGCCUGAACCAGCCAAGUCGCGUGAGGGAAGACGGUCCUAUGGAUUGUAAACCUCUUUUGUCGGGGCGCAAAAGACGCCACGCGUGGCGUUCCGAGAGUACCCGAAGAAAAAGCAUCGGCUAACUCCGUUCCAGCAGCCGCGGUAAUACGGAGGAUGCGAGCGUUAUCCGUCUUUAGUGGGUUAAACGGGUGCGCAGGCGGAAGAUCAAUUCAGCGGUAACAUUGAGCGGAUCAACCUCUUCUGGCCGUUGAAACUGGUUUUCGUGAGUGAGUGAGAAGUAUGCGGAAUGCGUGGUGUAGCGGUGAAAUGCAUAGAUAUCACGAAGAACUCCGAUUGCGAAGGCAGCAUACCGGCGCUCAACUGACGCUCAUGCACGAAAGUGUGGGUAUCGAACAGGAUUAGAUACCCGAGUAGUC